UGGGGAAUAUUGCACAAUGGGCGAAAGCCCGAUGCAGAGACGCCGCGUGAGGGAUGACGGCCUUCGGGUUGUAAACCUCUUUCAGUAGGGAAGAAGGGAAAGGGACGGUACCUGCAGAAGAAGCGCCGGCUAACUACGUGCCAGCAGCCGCGGUAAUACCUAGGGCGCAAGGGUUAUCCGGAAUUGAAUU
rnacentral:rRNA from 1 species